ensembl:lncRNA
UACGUUUAUUUUAUUCCACUUUUUUUAUUUCGUGUUUAAUAUUCAGUGUACUGCAGGGAUUAGUCCAUUUUAAUUGUUAUCGUAUCAAAUGGAAAUCUUAAAAAUAAGAAAGCGGCCCUGGGUGGGUCAUUAGUAACCCCCCAUGAUGGAGAACAAAGAAAAUAACAGAUUUUAUAUUCAUAUACACACUUUAAAUCAACCCGUAAAAGAACUACUGCUAUCAAACUGAAACAGUCAGAGGUCUAGUGCAGUACAGUUUCACACUCUGUAGACAAACAAACAGCUUUAAAGAUUAUUAUAAAAGUAAUCAAGUAUCUUCUAAAAUACACCUGUAUCUCUUCAUUAUUAUUAUUUUAAUAAAAAAUGGAUUCUGGUAGUUAGCUUCCAUUCAUAAUAAAGAGGUAAGCAAGUAGACAUUUUUGUAUAAUUAAGUAUUUACAACUUUGUCCAUCUAGUUUCCUAUGAACGGUGAACAGUUCUGAAUGGAGAUGUAACAGUUUACGCCAGAAAAUCAUAAGUAAGCAAAACAAUUAUAUCCCCUGAAUGAACAACAGGGGGCGCGGUUAGCCCAAAGAUGGGCAUACAAGGCAUUUACAGUUCCGGGUGCAUUCCAGUUGCAUAGAUUUUCUAGACUGGUUCCACUCAUGUAUAGCAAUAAAUUCGCGUCUUAAUGAAAAAGAAUAUCUGAGGUCAAUAGAUUCCCUGGAUAACAGAGAUGAGGAUAUGCUGUUGGUGGAAGGGUCUCUGAAUCACUCCAUGUUUACAACGUGUCGGUCUACAUAAUGACGUCAUAACCAAGAGGUCAAUGAAUCUAGUGAACUUCAAGUACAGUCGUCCAAAAUCAUAUGUUGUUAUUAUAUGUUGCCAACAAUAUAUAUAUAUAUAUUAGUGCUGUCAGUUAAACGCGUUAUUAACGGCGUUAACGCAGACCAAUUUAAUUUUUUUUUUUUUUUUUUCUUUGGAUCAAAACAAAGAAGCAGUAGCCUGACUGCUAUGUUCAAAGCAGUAUGUUUGUAUGUUCAUCGUUUAAUUGCACUAUAGGCUUUUUUUUUGUAUCGUCCUGUUUUGAUCAGUAUAUGCCAAUGUUGUUAUCAAUAAAAAAACAUUUGCACAAGGCAAGCCGAUGCACUUCUCCAUGUUGAUAAGAGCAUUAAAAUGAGAAAAAUUAAUGGGACAAAGAAAUCAAGGGAUAUUUAGCAUAGAGAAGUUAACUAUGACAUUAAUGUGAUUAAUCGUGAUUAAUCGCGAUUAAAUAUUUUAAUCCUGUGCUUAUUAUUCUAGGCUACUAUCGGGCUAGAUCUGCUAGCACUGUAGCUCGUUUGAAUGAUUGUCCUCUAUUAAAAUAAACCAUUGGCUCUUCUAAAGCGUGACAGAGCUAUACAUUUAAUUCAUUGGUUCACGUAGGACAUCAUUAAUGUAUAAAACUAGAUUCCUAUAGUCAUGAUUACAUUCUAUUGGAGGCUACAGUCUCAGUUCACCGGUUCUGAUGUUGGAGGUUAUAGCGAGGUUCAGCGCUGUGUCUACCUGUGGACCUGUGUGUGUUGUGCUUAUCUGUUGUUCACCUAAAUAUCUGGUUUUGUGUGUGUUUCUGCAUAUAUUUGUGUCUGUGUGUGUGUGUACGUGUACUUGUACGUGUACUUGUGUGUGUACUUGUGCGUGCUUGCGUCUAUUUGACUGUGUGUGUGUCUGUGAGUGUGAGAAUGUGUGUGUUGGUGUACGUGCGAGUGUGUGUGCCUCCAUGUGUGUGUCUGCGUUGGUGCGUCUGUGUGUGUGAGUAAAGAGAGUGUAGAGAGAGAGAGAGAGGGAGAGGGAGAGAGAUAGUGAGAAAGAGUGAGAGAGAGAGAGAGAGAGAGAGAGAGAGAGAGAGAGAGAGAGAGAGGGAGAGAGCAGAGAGGGCAGAAGGAACAGAGAAAGCUGGAAAGCCUCUCUCACUCUCACACUCUGAACGAGAAUAAUUGUGAGAGGGCAGAGAGAGAGAGAGGGAAACAGUGAGGAGUGAGAAAGUGAGAGAGUGAGCGAGUAUAAUCACGGUUGGAAGAGGGGGAUCAUGUUGACCGACACAGACCCUCCCCCGGUAAGUGCUGCAGCGAUGUGUGUGUGUGUGUGUGUGUGUGUGUGUGUGUGUG